GAUGAACGCUGACAGAAUGCUUAACACAUGCAAGUCAACUUGAACUUCGGUUUGGGUGGCGGACGGGUGAGUAACGCGUAAAGAACUUGCCUCACAGUUAGGGACAACAUUUGGAAACGAAUGCUAAUACCUGAUAUUAUGAUUUUAGGGCAUCCUAGAAUUAUGAAAGCUAUAUGCGCUGUGAGAGAGCUUUGCGUCCCAUUAGCUAGUUGGAGAGGUAACGGCUCACCAAGGCGAUGAUGGGUAGCCGGCCUGAGAGGGUGAACGGCCACAAGGGGACUGAGACACGGCCCUUACUCCUACGGGAGGCAGCAGGGGGGAAUAUUGGACAAUGGACCAAGAGUCUGAUCCAGCAAUUCUGUGUGCACGAUGAAGUUUUUCGGAAUGUAAAGUGCUUUCAGUUGGGAAGAAAAAAAUGACGGUACCAACAGAAGAAGUGACGGCUAAAUACGUG
rnacentral:rRNA from 1 species